rnacentral:rRNA from 1 species
AUUGAACGCUGGCGGCAGGCUUAACACAUGCAAGUCGAGCGGUAACAGAGAGAAGCUUGCUUCUCUGCUGACGAGCGGCGGACGGGUGAGUAAUGCCUAGGAAUCUGCCUCGUAGUGGGGGAUAACUUGCCGAAAGGUAAGCUAAUACCGCAUACGUCCUACGGGAGAAAGGAGGGGACCUUCGGGCCUUUCGCUAUUAGAUGAGCCUAGGUCGGAUUAGUUAGUUGGUGAGGUAAUGGCUCACCAAGACCGCGAUCCGUAACUGGUCUGAGAGGAUGAUCAGUCACACUGGAACUGAGACACGGUCCAGACUCCUACGGGAGGCAGCAGUGGGGAAUAUUGGACAAUGGGGGGAACCCUGAUCCAGCCAUGCCGCGUGUGUGAAGAAGGUCUUAGGAUUGUAAAGCACUUUAAGUUGGGAGGAAGAGCAGUUAACUAAUAUUUGACUGUUUUGACGUUACCGACAGAAUAAGCACCGGCUAACUUCGUGUCAGCAGCCGCAGUAA